rnacentral:rRNA from 1 species
CUAGCCGUAAACGAUGGAUACUAGGUGUUGUCUGUAUCGACCCAGACAGUGCCGUAGCUAACGCGAUAAGUAUCCCGCCUGGGGACUACGCACGCAAGUGUGAAACUCAAAGGAAUUGACGGGGGCCCGCACAAGCGGUGGAGUAUGUGGUUUAAUUCGAUGCAACGCGAAAAACCUUACCAGGGCUUGACAUGUCGCGAACCCUGCCGAAAGGUGGGGGUGCCUUCGGGAGCGCGAACACAGGUGG